GACGAACGCUGGCGGCGUGCCUAAUACAUGCAAGUUGAGCGCUGAAGGUUGGUACUUGUACCAACUGGAUGAGCAGCGAACGGGUGAGUAACGCGUGGGGAAUCUGCCUUUGAGCGGGGGACAACAUUUGGAAACGAAUGCUAAUACCGCAUAAAAACUUUAAACACAAGUUUUAAGUUUGAAAGAUGCAAUUGCAUCACUCAAAGAUGAUCCCGCGUUGUAUUAGCUAGUUGGUGAGGUAAAGGCUCACCAAGGCGAUGAUACAUAGCCGACCUGAGAGGGUGAUCGGCCACAUUGGGACAGAGACACGGCCCAAACUCCUACGGGAGGCAGCAGUAGGGAAUCUUCGGCAAUGGACGAAAGUCUGACCGAGCAACGCCGCGUGAGUGAAGAAGGUUUUCGGAUCGUAAAACUCUGUUGGUAGAGAAGAACGUUGGUGAGAGUGGAAAGCUCAUCAAGUGACGGUAACUACCCAGAAAGGGACGGCUAACUACGUG
rnacentral:rRNA from 1 species